rnacentral:lncRNA from 1 species
GUGUGUACACAGUCAGUGCAACUGUUUGCAGUGGACCUGAUAGCUUCUCAUGGCUGCUCAUUAUUUUUUUCUGGAUGACAGUGUGUCAUAAUAAUGGUUGUGAAAAGCUGUGUGAAAAUCCACGGCCAACAUUAAAGUCAUAGGAGGAUGUCCGUUAUGAUGAGCGUUGAAAGAGACUUCUGGAUUUCUUGAAACCUUCUGUGAACAAAAGAAGAUUAAAUCAAAGAAGAACUCUUCCCUUGG